UGUCCAACUGGAACAUCCUCUACAUCACCGUGUCACUGUACACAAUGACCAAAUCCUCUGCCGUGCUGUUCAUCUUGAUCUUUCUUUGAUCUUCAAGCUGGAGGAGCUGCGUGCAGCCCUGGUCCUGGUGGUCCUCCUCAUCGCCGGGGGGCUCUUCAUGUUCACCUACAAGUCCAUUCAGGUCAAUGUGGAGGGCUUCGCUCUGGUGCUGGGGGCCUCGUUCAUCUGGGGGCAUCCGCUGGACCCUCACCCAGAUACUUCUGCAGAAGGCUGAGCUGGGCCUCCAGAACCCCAUCGUCACCAUGUUCCACCUGCAGCCUCUCAUGUUUCUGGGGCUCUUCCCUCUCUUUGCCAUAUUUGAAGGUCUCCAUUUGUCCACAUCUGAGAAAAUCUUCUGUUUUCAGGACACAGGGCUGCUCCUGAGUGUGCUCGGGAGCCUCUUCCUUGGCGGGAUUCUUGCCUUUGGUUUGGGCUUCUCUGAGUUCCUCCUAGUCUCCAGAACCUCCAGCCUCACUCUGUCCAUCGCUGGCAUCUUUAAGGAAGUCUGCACUCUGUUGCUGGCGGCUCACCUACUGGGCGAUCAAGUCAGGCGCUUAACCUCUGCCUCUCCAGAAUAUCCCUACAUGUGGCCUUGAAAGCCCUGCCUUCCAGAAGGGACGGUGGCCCUGAGCCCCCGAAGGGCCUGGUGUCCAGCUUGGACUUGGAGCUGCUGCUGCGGAGCAGCCAGCAGGACGAGGACACGGAGGAGGGAGAAUACUUUGUGGCCCAGGCGAGGACCCGAGCCCCUGCUGCCGCAGCCUUCGAGACGCCGACACCCAGCAGCGCAGAGCUGGCAGAGAGGUCGCCCUGCCUGGAGCCCGGGCCUGGGAGUCGCAGGGCAGGACCCUGCAAUGGGCCGGGGUUCCUGGCCUUGCCCUUCCCUCUGAAGCUAGAGCCUGCCCAUGCUGUGCGGGGAGCCAUGUUGGACCAUGGCAGUGAAGGGCGGGGUUGA